rnacentral:rRNA from 1 species
AGUGAACGCUGGCGGUAGGCCUAACACAUGCCAGUCGAACGGCAGCACAGUAAGAGCUUGCUCUUACGGGUGGCGAGUGGCGGACGGGUGAGGAAUACAUCGGAAUCUACUUUUUCGUGGGGGAUAACGUAGGGAAACUUACGCUAAUACCGCAUACGACCUACGGGUGAAAGCAGUGGAUCUUCGGACCUUGCGCGAUUGAAUGAGCCGAUGUCGGAUUAGCUAGUUGGCGGGGUAAAGGCCCACCAAGGCGACGAUCCGUAGCUGGUCUGAGAGGAUGAUCGGCCACACUGGAACUGAGACACGGUCCAGACUCCUACGGGAGGCAGCAGUGGGGAAUAUUGGACAAUGGGCGCAAGCCUGAUCCAGCCAUACCGCGUGGGUGAAGAAGGCCUUCGGGUUGUAAAGCCCUUUUGUUGGGAAAGAAAAGCAGCAGGUUAAUACCCAGCUGUUCUGACGGUACCCAAAGAAUAAGCACCGGCUAACUUCGUG